rnacentral:rRNA from 1 species
CGUUAUUCUUAAAUGUAAAUAUAAAACACUUUAGUAGUAUACAGAUAUGAUCUCGAAAUUUAGAGAACUUGGCGGCAUUCUAGUCUAGUUAGAGGAACCUGUCCUUUAAACGAUGGUCCACGAAGAAUCUUACUUUUUCUGUUAAAAAGCUUGUAUACCUCCAUUAUUAGAUGAAUUCUCAAGAAUUUAUUAAAAUAGCUUUAAGCUGAGAUAUUAGGUCAAGGUGCAGUUUAUGAAAAAGUAGAGAUGGGUUACAAUAAUAUAAGAUUAAACGGAUAUAGGCUGUAAGAUAGUUUAUUUAAGGCGGAUUUAAAAGUAAUUUUUAUUUAAUAUGGUAAGAUGAUAAAAGCUCUAGGAUGUGUA